AGCAGCCGCGGUAAUUCCAGCUCCAAUAGCGUAUAUUAAAGUUGUUGCAGUUAAAAAGCUCGUAGUUGAAUUUCGGGAUCAGUACGCUGGUCGUGCCUUAGGUAUGUACUGGUGUCACUGGUUCCUCCCUUCUGAAGAACUGUCAUGCCAUUAAUUUGGUGUGGCGGGGAAUCAGGACUGUUACUUUGAAAAAAUUAGAGUGUUUAAAGCAGGCUCGCGCUUGAAUACAUUAGCAUGGAAUAAUGAAAUAGGACGUUUGAUCCUAUUUUGUUGGUUUCUAGGAUCGACGUAAUGAUUAAUAGGGAUAGUUGGGGCAUUAGUAUUCAAUUGUCAGAGGUGAAAUUCUUGGAUUUAUUGAAGACUAACUACUGCGAAAGCAUUUGCCAAGGAUGUUUUCAUUAAUCAAGAACGAAAGUUAGGGGAUCGAAGACGAUCAGAUACCGUCGUAGUCUC
rnacentral:rRNA from 1 species